rnacentral:rRNA from 1 species
CGCAAGCCUGACGGAGCAAGACCGCGUGGGGGAGGAAGGCUCUUGGGUUGUAAACCCCUUUUCUCAGGGAAGAACACAAUGACGGUACCUGAGGAAUCAGCCUCGGCUAACUCCGUGCCAGCAGCCGCGGUAAUACGGAGGAUGCAAGCGUUAUCCGGAAUCAUUGGGCGUAAAGCGUCCGCAGGUGGCUGUUCAAGUCUGCUGUCAAAGACAGAAGCUUAACUUCUGAAAGGCAGUGGAAACUGGAGAGCUAGAGUACGGUAGGGGUUGAGGGAAUUCCCAGUGUAGCGGUGAAAUGCGUAGAUAUUGGGAAGAACACCAGUGGCGAAGGCGCUCAACUGGGCCGUAACUGACACUCAGGGACGAAAGCUAGGGGAGCG